GAAUUUGAAUUGUUCGAUCAAGAUCGGGCGGCUCAAAUUUUAAGCUUAUAUUUAUCGUCUGUUAUUGAUAAAAUAUGAGUCAAUUGAUCUUUGAUUGAACGGUUUGAAUUC
rnacentral:pre_miRNA from 1 species